rnacentral:tRNA from 2 species
GGCGGGGUAGCUCAGGUGGUUAGAGCGUCGGAUUCAUAACCCGAAGGUCACGAGUUCAACUCUCGUCCCCGCUACAA